UUACAUACAUACAAAAUAAAGCGAUUAAUACAUUAAAAUUUUGAAAUUUUCCUCAAAUUUGACGGUAAAUUGAUAACAUUGCGGGUCAAUUAUCUCCGUGUCUAGUGAUUUGAGGUUCUGAUGUGAUAAACUCAUAUCGUGCUUGUAUUUGUGGAGGUUCUGAGUAAUUAGAUUUAUUUUGACUUUGAGUUAUUGUUGUGGAAAAUUUCUCUCAGUGCUCAUUGAUUUAAGACGAGAUGACAAAUAGUAAAUAAUGCUGCACAAAGCCAUCCAAAAAUUGUGACUGUAUUUUUUUUAUAAAAGGGUCAGCACGAACCACAAAUUAAUAUUUAAGUCCAGUUUAUGGUGGAGGCAAUUAAUUCUGUGGACGUGUGGAGUGUUUUGACUUUGAAAACAAGAAAAAAAGAGUAUGCUUCUGGUUCGCUUUCUCAACGGCCCUGUACGCGUGGGAUUCACCGCAGUACCUAGUGGCGUCAGGUCUCAAAAGCUGAGCGAAAAAUUUGCCUUCACAACGGCUACGAUCUUUGCUUGUUUUGGAAUCGGUAUGAGCACGAUGGGACUAACACAAAUGUCGUAUUACCGAAACACCCACAAGAUUGAAUAAUACACGUCAACUUCGUCAACAUGUAAAACGAGCUCAUAAAUUAGCCUACGGAACGGACAGAAGACAAUGAUGGGGAUAACAAUCAAAUUGAAAAUGAAUUAUGUGAGGAGAAGAUUCUAUGUGACUUUUAUUUAGCGAAAUGUUACAAUUAAUAUAACAGCCAACACUACAAAUUAUUGUGGCAAAGAAAAUUAUAAACAUGUCAGCUUAAAUUUUCAUGUGUUCCACUUCCACCCAUUUUUUUAGUUAAGUUUAUUUGACCGCAGGCAACAAUUUGCAAAAUGUUUGCAAAUAUUGACUACUUGAUUGAUGAUGCUACUACUUUCCUCUGGAAAUGUGUGACUGACUACAUGUAUAUUUUUUGAAACAGUUGAAUGAUGAAGAGUAGUGAAAAAUAGUACAAUGCUAAUUAUUGAAUCCAAGUAAGGGCAGCCAUCAACCAUGCAUGUCAAUAUUUCUAACAUUAAUACUUCCAAACCAUGCAAAAUGUCAAGCUCAGCCUAUCCAACUGACAAGCCAAUACCUUCAAUUUUGUCAGAAACAAAUGGGUCACAAUCCUUCAAACUUGUCUUUGUUUAGUAUUAAUAAAAAUAUAUGGAGGAUUUCUAGAGCCAUUAGUCAAAGGAAAUGAUAAGACUGCAAGUACUUUGUUUUCUGAGCAAGACGAGUGCAUUAAUUGUUGCUUACGACGAAUAAAAAACAAAAUGUGGCACUAGUAGCAUGUACCUUCCUAUCUGGUAUAAUAUGUAAUAAUUAUUAUGAGAGUCCAGUAAGUUUUACUGACUGUAUACAUAGUGCACCGUAGUAGUUUAUUAAGUACGUAAUAACCGAUAAUUGUAUCAUAAUUAUAAUGAGAGAAAAGACGAUACGAAUAAAAAGUGAUGAGUUUCAGCCUUUUUUAUAAAAUA